rnacentral:rRNA from 1 species
UACCAGCACCCCGAGUGGUCGGGACGAUUAUUGGGCCUAAAGCAUCCGUAGCCGGUUUUACAAGUCCUCCGUUAAAUCCAGCUGCUUAACAGAUGGGCUGCGGAGGAUACUAUAAGACUAGGAGGCAGGAGAGGCAAGCGGUACUCAGUGGGUAGGGGUAAAAUCCGUUGAUCCAUUGAAGACCACCAGUGGCGAAGGCGGCUUGCCAGAAUGCGCUCGACGGUGAGGGAUGAAAGCUGGGGGAGCAA